CGAGCCACUUCCCCGGGCGCCGAGGGCUUGGCGGCGGCGGCUCCGCGUUCUCCUCCGGGGCUGGAGGAGCGCGCCCCGCACUCUGGAAACCUGGGCUGGAGCGGGCUGCGCCGCGUCGCUCGGCUGCUUGGCCCGCUGCGUCCGGCUCACUGCUCUGCCCUCUGCCUCCCCCGGAGCUUUGUCCCGGUCGGUGCGGCCCUCAUCACCCGGUUCGGACCCACGUCAUUUGAGCCGGGGGUGGUGGGCGGUGGGUGAAGACGAAGCGACGGGGACUUUUCUUCGGGGAGACGCGUGGCAGAUCCGGAUGCUGUUUUCUGUCCUGCACGUAUGUUUCGGCUUCUUUGACGCGUCUCCCCGAUUUCUCUCCCUUCUGCCGGGACGGAGGGACCUAGAGAGACGUUGGAGUCAUUCGAUGUCCAGUUUGCAGCCAAGAGUGUGCAGAGAGAGACAACAUAGAUAACUUUUUUGUGAAGGACACUACUGAGGUUCCCAGCAGUACAGUAGAAAAGUCUAAUCAGGUAUGCACAAGCUGUGAGGAUAAUGCAGAAGCUAAUGGGUUUUGUGUAGAAUGUGUUGAGUGGCUCUGCAAGAUAUGCAUCAGAGCUCAUCAAAGAGUGAAGUUCACAAAAGACCACACUAAGACAGAAGGAGGAAGUAUCUCCAGGUAAUAAACUGGCUUUAAUCUCUUUUGGUCUCUAACCUUCCCCCUCUUUUCUAUCUUCCUUUCCUGGCUUUGUUUUGAUACCAUUGUAAGUGUUAAAUGCAUUCUUGUUUUUUAAUAUAAGGAGGUCUGUAUUGUAAUUGAAAUUUGAAGACCUCUAAAUGUUGUUGAAUAUGAGUAGAUAUAAAAUUUUUCUGCCUUAUAUUGAUUCAUACUCCCAAUCCCCCUUUUCGUUUAAAUGCUAUAAUUUGGUGUAAAUGUAUAGGAAAUGGAAGAAAAAAAGAGUUGCUUUUUAAACUUUUUUAGCUUCUCUUAUUACUUAUCUUGUUUCUAAGGUAUGACAAGAGGUGGGCUUAAUAAAAAUUUAUAAGCCUGAUACCAUUAUGGAAAACCUGUUUUGUGAUAUUUGAUAUGUAGAUAACUAAAGAAGCUCUGCCUUUUAUGUGACUUACAGUUUCUCAGUUUUUAUUGUAUGACUUAAAAUGUAAAGUUUACUAAUAAUUUGUUUUAUUAUAGUAAAAUAUAUGUAACUUAAAACUUGCCAUUUAAACCAUUUUUAAGUGUAUAAUUCAUUAAUAUACACAUUCAUUUUAUCAGUGUACAGUGCAUUAAUGGCAUUCACAAUGUUAUGAAGCUGUCACCACUGCCUGUUUCUAAAGUUUUUUCAUCAUUUCAGGAAGAAACAAUACCCACUAUAUAUUAAUGCUUAUUCCCCACUUUCCUCUACCCCGUGGACUUCUAAUCUGUCUGUUCGAAUUUGCUUAUUUCUGCAAGUGGAAUCAAAUAGCAUUUGUCCUUUGUUGUCUGACUUAUAUCACAAUAUUUUCAGCUUUUAUCUAUGUUGUAGUGUUUAUCACACUUCAUUUGUUUUUAUGGCUCAUUAAUAUAGUUUUGUUUAAAAAAUUAUUUUUUGGUUUUAAUUUUUGCUUUAUUGCCUUUAAUUCAAGUCAACCAGUAUUCAUAGAUCUAUUCUGUAUUCGAAGGAACUUUGCUGUGCAUUAGAGAUGGAAAGUGAAUAAAACAGAUAAUUUUGCCCCACAGGAGUUAUUAGUAUGAUGAAAGCUACAAACAAAUUGGCCUCAUAAGUUCUGUAGAAGCACAUGAAAGAAGCCCCAAACUCAAGAUUUAGGGAUUUAGGUUGGAAGCGAAAUCUGGGGCUUGAAGGAGAAAUAGAGUUUUAUCACAGGAAGGAGAGGAGUGGGGAAAAGUGAAGUACAUGCACAAAUAUCUAGAGAGAGAGAGAGUUGAAUAUAGCUGGAGAGUAAGAUUCAGGGGGAGGAGGAAUAAGAGAUGAGGCUAGGAGUCCGGUGACAAGGGAAGUGGGAUUAUAAUUUCUGAGGACACUGAUGAGGAAAAGACAAAAAGAGAAGAGGCCAAGUAUAGAUUCGGAUAAAUUAAAUAGAUUAGUGCUAGAAAGACUUGUCUCUUUUUUUGUGAAUUCAGCCAUCUAUUGAAAAACAGAGCAGAGGAAACAGGAUUAAAAGGUAAGGAAUGUGGGGAAUACUUGAAAUGACUCCAGUUAAAAGAGAGCUCCAGCUUCCGAAACAGUUUGGUAGCAUCAAUGUUACAUUGCAUAUACAGGCCUUAAAACUUCCUCCCUCGAGGGGUGCCUGGGUGGCUCAGUCAGUUAAGCGUCUGCCUUCAGCUCAGUUCAUGAUUCUGGGGUCCUAGAUCGAAUUCUACAUCGAGCUCUCUUCUCUCAGAGGAGCCUGCUUCUCCCUCUGCCCACCACCUCCACCUCUCAUGAGUAAAUAAACAAAAAUCUUAAAAAUAAAAUAAAAUAAAAUAAAACUUCCUCCAUCAGGCCUCAGCAGUGUACUUGUAGGUAUAGAGAAGAAUCGAACUUACCUAGGAUUGGGGUUUAUCUAGAUAGGUGUUGGAGAAGUUCAAUAGAGUGAGAGGUAAAAAUAAUGGCAUUUACUAAAUGAAGGAUUUUUUUAAACUGUAUUGUUGUGCCCAAGAUUGCGAAUCCGAGAAACCAUCAAGGAGCCGACACCAAUGCAAGCGC